rnacentral:rRNA from 1 species
UACGUAGGGUGCAAGCGUUGUCCGGAAUUACUGGGCGUAAAGAGUUCGUAGGCGGUUUGUCGCGUCGUUUUGUGAAAACUCACAGCUCAACUGUGAGCCUGCAGGCGAUACGGGCAGACUUGAGUACUGCAGGGGAGACUGGAAUUCCUGGUGUAGCGGUGAAAUGCGCAGAUAUCAGGAGGAACACCGGUGGCGAAGGCGGGUCUCUGGGCAGUAACUGACGCUGAGGAACGAAAGCGUGGGUAGCAAACAGG